UUCUCCAGUCUCCACCUCCCUGGGCGCUGUUGCCCCUUCCAAAUCUGCGCCAACUGCGCCACCGUAUCCCGGUUUUUUUUCCCCCGCUUCUUGUCGCUGCGCCCAAUCGAGGAGGCGAGGCUGCUGGCCUCGUUUCCUCCGCGCGAGGGUUGGGGCUUUCCGCGCCGCGACCAAGAAACGGUUCCCGGAGCAGGAGCUUGGAGGCUUCCGCGUGGUCUGGUGAUUGAGCUCGGGACGACGGGAGGUGUAGUUCUGCGCGUCAUUGCCGGGCUCAAGGUGAUCGAUCCACCAGUCCUGGGGAGUAGGCCUAAUCCCUCUAUGAACAAUACGAUCGGAAAAGCAGUCUCCUGUUCAGAUGCUGCCCAUUAAACUAGUCCCAGUGUUGUACAAAGAUUCUGUCUUUUGGCAGAAUACAGUGAU
rnacentral:lncRNA from 1 species